rnacentral:lncRNA from 1 species
CUUUUUUUUUUUUUUUUUUUUUUCAUUGAAUAUUCUCUGAAGACAAUCAGAGGCCUGCCAGGGAGGGACUCCUGGCUGGUUCCAGCACUGUCCUUAGGCCUCUUUUUAAUACUAACUUGUUGGAACUGAUGCACUUUGUUUAAUGUAUUUUACCUUUUUUUUUUAAAGCUGCUCAUUUAGAACAAAAUCAAAUGCUUAUUGCAUUGUAUCCUUCCUGCUUGCUGUUUUUCCUCUUAAUUUCAAAAGUUAUGCAUUAAAGAUAAAAGUACACUUAAGAAGUAUGCACAAGAAUACCUAUUAAAAUAACUACCAUCAAGUUUGAUGGUAUAACUUCAAAGGAUUAAAAAAAACUAUUUUGGAUUAAUAUUUUGCGUGUUUUUUUUGUAAAUAUGAUUGUAUAUAAACUGGUGGUACGUUAUGACAGUUUUAAGUGGUUGUGAGAAAACUAAAGAGAACAGGUCUUAAGCUAUGUUUAACCUUAACUUUGUGCUGAUUUGACAACAAGGAAGGCAUUUUGGCCAGAGUAAAUUUUUUAAAACUCUUUCCAGCGGGACCUCAGAGAAUCAUUUCCAAAUAGAUGAGAAGUUCCUUCCUACUUUAAUAAAACUCCGGAAUUCUUCCCCCUCUCUUGCUGUCUCAUCCUUUACCUUCUGGAUUUAGGUGCUUUUUAAUUCCAGUUCAGGAAAGAUAGGAAGAGUAGAAUUUCCCCACAGCAACCUUGCUCCUGACAUUGGGGAUUCCGCCCCUGAUCUCUGAAGACUGCUUCUUGUUUGUUCCUCUGUGAGCCUUAAGGAUUCCUCCACAGCUGGAUGUGCAGAACAAUUCUUUGUCAAAAACAUCACUUUUCAGCUCUAUGUCCAAUUUUCCUUGAGCUGUCUGUGUCUUCAAGCAAUCAAUAGUCUCCUUAUGCCCAACCACAAUCUAUUCUGCUUUAAGACGUAGCCUCUUGUUUGGUUCUCUCUAAACAUGUACUGUUAACUGUUGAGCAUCCUCAUAAGAUCCCUCUUAGACUAAAAGACAGUCAUGCAAUUUUAAUUUUCCCUUAUCCAUUUAUUUUUUUAAUCUGAUUUUCUGUAUUUGCCCACGGCCAGUACUUGUGGAGAGUUUAAAAUUUUAUAAAUUAAAAUUCCAUUUAAAUUAAG